rnacentral:rRNA from 1 species
CCUACGGGAGGUUGCAGUGAGGAAUAUUGGUCAAUGGACGAGAGCCUGAACCAGCCAAGUAGCGUGAAGGAUGACUGCCCUACGGGUUGUAAACUUCUUUUAUAUAGGAAUAAAAUGAUCCACGUGUGGGAUUUUGUAUGUACUUUAUGAAUAAGGAUCGGCUAACUCCGUGCCAGCAGCCGCGGUAAUACGGAGGAUCCGAGCGUUAUCCGGAUUUAUUGGGUUUAAAGGGAGCGUAGGUGGAUUGUUAAGUCAGUUGUGAAAGUUUGCGGCUCAACCGUAAAAUUGCAGUUGAUACUGGCAGUCUUGAGUACAGUAGAGGUAGGCGGAAUUCGUGGUGUAGCGGUGAAAUGCUUAGAUAUCACGAAGAACUCCGAUUGCGAAGGCAGCUCACUAAACUGCAACUGACACUGAGGCUCGAAGGUGUGGGUAUCAAACAGGAUUAGAUACCCCAGUAGUC